GCCUGGGUGGCUCAGUCGGUUAAGUGUCUGAUUUCGGCUCAGGUCAUGAUCUCACGGUUCGUGGGUUUAAGCCCCACGUCGGGCU
rfam:Felis catus isolate Cinnamon breed Abyssinian chromosome C1, whole genome shotgun sequence.